CUCAGGAAGUUCAGCAAACUUCUGAGAAAUCACUGAAAAACAACAAAUGGAAAAAGAGCUGAUUUCAUUAAGACAAGAAACCAUUUCCACGGGCCACCAGUCUGAUACUGCCAGGCGAAAGCAAGGCAGUCCUGGAAUAUCUAAAGCACUGUUUUCAGAAAGAGGCCAUGGUAAAAAGAAACAUAGGAGAACGAGGAGUGCUCAGGGAAGUUGUCUUUAACUGUAAUGCAGACAGAACUUACUAAAGAGAGCACAUCUGAAAAAUUGGAUUGGAACAGAAACAGCUGAUUUUUACUGGAUCAAACUGGCAAACACUGUCACCUAUGUGAAUUUCUCCACCUUUAAAAAUAAACAGAUCUUUGCACUGUGCAUAGAUGUCGGAACCCAGGAUAUCCCUCUGGGUGCCCUGGAUGGCUCAAGAUCCUGGCAGGGGUUUGGAGACCCUGGCAGGAAGCCAAAGACACUUGGGAAUUUGAUCUCAACCCAUGGAGCAAAUAACCAACUUUAUAUGAAGAACUACAAGUCACAAAAGUUUAAGAAGAAUAAUAGUAGCUGUCUCGGGAUGAAAAGUGGAAUUUUGAAGAUUUUUAUUAUAGGGGUCUAGGAGGCAAGAUGGAGGGAUUUGGGCGUUGUCCUGUUCUUCUUCCUUCUUCUUCCUAGCCUCCAUCUUCUCAGUAAUGGUGGCACUUUGGGAUUGGCGUAAAGUAGAAAGUCACUGUCUAACAUAGGUGAUAGGUAUUGGAACAUAACUGUAAAUAUCGAAUAUGUAGCUUAUAGGCAUCUCAUACAUCUAUUUUAACCACCCUACUGGGAACAAAAAUGGGCAGGUUUCCAAAGAAUUUGCACCACAGAAAGUUUCUAUCAGCUGCCAUAGAGAGACAUUCUCCACAGUGAAAUGUGUUGGAACUAAGCAACAUAUUUUUGUCACAAAAUAAAAGUAUAGUCAUCUAUUCAAA